UCACACUCACCCACUCACUGAUCCUUCUUCUCGGUUCUCUCUCCCUCUCUGUCUCUGCACUCCCACAACCACACUCUUUCUCUCUUGCUUUUCUUCUCCGACUUUUCAUAUCGUUUACCACACUAACGCCCAUCAUCGCCAUCAUCUCUGAUAACUUGGGCCAUUAGCACCUUACUCUACUGAGUUAUGAUUGACUUAUGUUGCUCAACAUCCCUUGACUCUUGCCUUCUUACACGAGUUUCCAUUUCGACUUGGGCGUCGCGAGAGAAGCAUUGACACCCACUCGAAACUCAGUUUCUCAAUACCCUAGCCUUCGUCCUCUUUCCUGCUUAAUUCAAGGGAAUCUCAAGAAAAACCCUAAAUUAGCUCACUCAUUUCUAUGGCUUGAUUAGACUCGAUUUGAGAAGCCCUCGAUUGCACUCUUACUUUGGUAGGAUAAUUAGUGGGUCUAAUUAGUAACUCUUACUGGGUAUUGGUUUGUAGGAUGUCGACAAUUGGGGCUCGCCACGCCGUUCUCGAGGCCACAAUCUUGUGGCCCCCCUUUUGUCUCAGAGCAUCCUCGAGUUCUAGGAUCUUUCUUCACUUCCGAUCCUUCCAAUGCCAUUGGUGGCGCCUCCCCUGCUCUUCAAGACCCACCCUAGUUUUCCAUAGAAGCAUCCCAGUGGAAGUUAUGGCGCAAAAGUUCCCACAAGUAUUGGCCUCGCUUUAUUGAAACUAGUGGAAGCCAUGGGUAGACCAUUUAGAAGGGAAAUUUAGGCAGCUAUGGAAGGAACUAGAAAUUUACGCUUUCAUCAAGGUGACCUGCGUAGCUCCAGACAUGGACUGGGGUCUAUUGCUUGCCCUUUUUGACUUUAUGGAGCUAGUCCAUCGACGCCUUUGUCUUGCCGUGUGGGUUCCUCUCAAUGACCCAAAGACUUGAGUUACUUGACCGACCUCCUAGUCAUAGGAGAGCCUAUUGAACCUUCCAAUAGGGAUAAGGUUGAGGGGCUGAUGAAGUCAUACUCGAGUACCCAGAAUCCCUAGCCACAAGUAUUCUUAACGCCUUCCUGGAACAAGAAUUCAAGCAAGAUGACUCUGAGCCAACUAUCUAUGAACACAUAUCAUUCUUGUACUUUAUAAUGUGCAACUUCCUCCGCCUCCUUGCUAGCAGCCAGAUGGUGAAAGAUGUGUUCUACAUCAGGCAGAAGCUUUCAGCUUGAUAGAUGGUGGCUUUGGUCCCUUAUGCCCUCGCCUUUCUUUAUUAAGGCUGCCAGACUGUGGCUGAAAAACACAUUCCCCAAGCCAUCAAGGCUAAUGUGGCUUUUGCAGUCGUAGUCCUUCACAUACUUUCCAUCCCUCUACUCAUAACUUGAUUUAUCAGCCCUAGCCCUUGUAAACCUUCCUUGCUAUGGCCUCAAGUUCAAGCACCUAACUAAGGUUCAGACGCUCUAUGAGAAGCCUUCGAAGUAGUGUUUAAGUUUAAAGCCAGAGACCUUCGAGUUCUAACCCCUAAAGAUUAGGGACUGUUGGUCCUGACUUAAGGCCAACUUCACCUUUUUUUUUUGUUUUAAAGUUUUUUUAGUUUUCAGAAAUAAUUUAUUAUUAAAAAAAUAUAGUGAGUCUCACUCGAUCAUUCAUUAUGAUCCAUGUGAUAUUAGUAAUACACGUCGAUCAUUUCCGUUUAAAUUAACGAAAAAGUUGACGCCGUACUAGAAUUGUUAUCAAAUCAAUAGUUUGUACAUUUUUUUGGUUAAAGAAUAAAAAUUCGUAUUAAAAUUUUUUAUAAUAAAAUUAUUAAAAUAUAGAAAAGUUUGUAAUUUUUUUGAUUAUUAACAAUUCUUUUUAUAUAAACAUAGGAUCUUUUCCUUCCCCAUCGCUCCUUAACCCUCCCUUCCGCUCCUCUACAGCCCUCCUUCAUUUUGAAGCUACGCACAAACUACAGGGAGCAAAUGAAGAAUAAUCCGAACACGAAGGACGGUCUCUUUCCUUCGCUGUUCACUGUUGAGUUCAAUACUUCAAUCACAAGUCGCUCUCUGGACUGGCACUGCAAAGAAGCUCGACAAUAGCCAUGGCCUCCAUUGCCUCCAAGUUCAGGUCCUCCGCUCUCAUCUCAUGGAAAUCGACGGGGAAGUUGCAGCAAACCCUGGCCGGUUGCAUUGAGAGGACCGGCGUCGCCCUUCACUCGGGAAAGGUCUCCACGGUGAAGAUAUGGCCACACUUCGCCGGUGAGGGGCGGUGGUUCGACUUCCGCUCCAACCUGAUACCUGCGUCCAUCGAUUUCGUGGAGCAAUCGCCUCUUUGCACCACGCUCUUGAAGGACGGGCUCAGAAUACGCACUGUCGAGCAUCUGCUAUCAGCUCUCGAAGCCUCUGGGGUCGAUAACUGCAGGAUCGAGAUUGAUAAUUUGGACGGUGAAGAUAAGGAUGUCGAGGUCCCAAUUUUUGACGGCUCGGCAAGGGAAUGGGUGGAAGCGAUUGAGAAAGUUGGUCUGGAGAUAGCGAAAGAUAGUCGUGGAAAUGAUUGUGAAAAAAUAGCUCCAUAUUUGAAUGAACCUGUGCAUUUCUGGCAUAUUGAUUCUUUUGUGGUCGCAUUUCCAUCACCUAAAGUUCACGUCACUUUUGGAAUUGAUUUUCCUCAGGUGCCUGCUGUUGGUUGCCAGUGGUUUUCCUCAUCCCUUAGUGAUGACUCUGUGUACAAGAGGCAAAUUGCUCCUGCACGUACUUUUUGCAUUUACGAGGAGGUGGAGAAAAUGCGAAAUGCUGGACUGAUAAAAGGUGGUUCUUUAGAGAAUGCCUUAGUUUGCAGUAUGGGCAAAGGUUGGUUGAAUCCACCACUGCGAUUUAAUGAUGAACCCGCUCGCCAUAAGGCCUUAGAUCUAAUUGGAGAUCUCUCUGUUUUUGCAAGAUCUGGUAGUCAGGGCCUUCCAGUGGCACAUAUAGUGGCCUACAAGAGUGGGCAUGCACUGCAUGCUGAUUUUGUACGGCAAAUUUCAUCAUAGUUUAUCAGAAGAGAAGACGGGCAGGAUUAAUGCUGCAAGAUGUCCAACGGUUCAAGGACUAAAAGCCCUGGUCAUCUCAUAUGUGGUGAGGAUCAUCAUAUUUGGGAGUAUCAGUGCUGCAUUUGCAGAAAAUGGAUUCAGUGCUCAUGAUUGCUUUUGUGAAUGGAUGUGAACUGGGUCUUUCCUCUUUAGCUAGCUUUGGCUUCGGUUGUUUAGGUCCUUGCAGGCCUCCUGGUUUCAGCUGAUUGUAUGCCUACUGCUAACCUUGAUGAGAUCUGUACUAAUAUGGUCGGGGGGAAGCAGGAGUUUGUGGGGGCCUCUAUUCAGCUAUCCUUAAGCACAAGUAUUUGAUCAAUCGAAGACUGAUAGAAUGAUCGUUCAGCCUGGACAAUCGAGGCUUUUGUUCUAGUGGAAUGAAUUUAUCGGAAGAUUUUCCGUAAGGUCUUUGAAAGAAACUAAGAAUUGGCGGCACGAAGAGACGAGAGGUGCUCUGUAUGCUGUGAGAAAUUUUAUUAGGGCACCACUGAUUCAGCUCAAUCUCCACCAUGGAGAUUCUUUAGUGUGAACAGCAUUCUAGUAGUAUCUUAUCAUUUGCACAAAAUAAAGUGAGCAAUCAGCGAAGAGGCGAAAGAAUGUUUAAGAGACAGAUCAGAUGACCAGUGGCAACUCGAGGAACAGGCUGUGGGAACAAUAGGGAGAAAUCACUGUGAAGGAAUGCCCCAGGAUACGCGGUAUAAUCUGCAUUAAGAAAACAGUCAGUAAUCUGAAUCUAAGGUGGUAGAUGAAGGGGAGGAAGAUGAGUUGCGAGAAAAUAUUGUUCUGAGUGCUGCUGCUGAAUACACUAUUCUCCUUUCGGUUUGUCUAACCAGCUGGGAACUCGGUCAUUGUUUCGAGCUAUAGUAUGUCUUGUCUGAUGUUCUUUAUCCGGAAUAGGUAUUCAGUAUUCUCGUUGUUUGGACUUUGCUAGCAUGUUGUAGUAAGGAGAACCCCCGAUUAAGUCCUGAUUAGUUGAUCGGAGUCCAUUUCCCGAAGAUUUGUGGAAGAACAAGGUAAAACUUGAGCAUGGCAGAGGCUGGUCGGUCUUGAUUCGAGCCCUCUAGUACGGACCAUGCCACCCAUACCUCUCUUCUACUAAAGGAAAAUCGGCCUUUUUGUGCACCUUAUGCUAGAAUCUUGCUAAAACGGUUGUUUAUGUGAACAAUAUCAUGUUGUUCUAGACCAUGAUUACGAUGUUUAUGCAGUGUGUAUAUGCUAGGAUUAGCUUAAUCGUGUCAAAUAUGCUCGACUUUACUUGAUUAGUGCUUAAUUAAGAUUAA